rnacentral:rRNA from 1 species
UACGAAGGGAGCAAGCGUUGUUCGGAAUUACUGGGCGUAAAGGGCGCGUAGGCGGACGGACAAGUCAGAGGUGAAAGCCCUGGGCUCAACCCGGGAAUUGCCUUUGAAACUGUUUGUCUUGAGUGCGAGAGAGGGUGGCGGAAUACCCAGUGUAGAGGUGAAAUUCGUAGAUAUUGGGUAGAACACCAGUGGCGAAGGCGGCCACCUGGCUCGCAACUGACGCUGAGGCGCGAAAGCGUGGGGAGCAAACAGG